rnacentral:lncRNA from 1 species
UAAAAGAAACCCAAAAUUUUUGGUCAGCACUUCCAGGAGGCUUUAAAAUUGUCCUUGGAGAGAUGCUCGGUUCCAACCAUACAAGUCGUAUAAGCCAAGAACCUAUCGCGGACUUUAAACCAGUAUGGAAUCAGGAUGAAACUGAAACGGGAUACGUAAGUCGCACGGACUUUAAAUCUGUACGAAUCAGGUUGAAAUCGCAAAAGGAAAAUCGAUAGCCGGCUAGUCACCGCAUAAACCUUAAAACCGAAAGUAAACCUAGGUCUUGCCCUAAACCCAACACACUGGUC